rnacentral:rRNA from 1 species
GACGGGACCCGCACAAGCGGUGGAUGAUGUGGUUUAAUUCGAUGCAACGCGAAAAACCUUACCCACCUUUGACAUGUACGGAAUCCUUUAGAGAUAGAGGAGUGCUCGAAAGAGAGCCGUAACACAGGUGCUGCAUGGCUGUCGUCAGCUCGUGUCGUGAGAUGUUGGGUUAAGUCCCGCAACGAGCGCAACCCUUGUCAUUAGUUGCUACGCAAGGGCACUCUAAUGAGACUGCCGGUGACAAACCGGAGGAAGGUGGGGAUGACGUCAAGUCCUCAUGGCCCUUAUGGGUAGGGCUUCACACGUCAUACAAUGGUCGGUACAGAGGGUUGCCAAGCCGCGAGGCGGAGCCAAUCCCACAAAGCCGAUCGUAGUCCGGAUUGUUCUCUGCAACUCGAGAGCAUGAAGUCGGAAUCGCUAGUAAUCGCAGGUCAGCAUACUGCGGUGAAUACGUUCCCGGGUCUU